UACGUAGGGGGCGAGCGUUGUCCGGAUUUAUUGGGCGUAAAGAGCGUGUAGGCGGCCAGACAGGUCAGCUGUGAAAACUCGAGGCUCAACCUCGAGACGUCGGUUGAAACCGUCUGGCUAGAGUCCGGAAGAGGAGAGUGGAAUUCCUGGUGUAGCGGUGGAAUGCGCAGAUAUCAGGAGGAACACCGGUGGCGAAGGCGGGUCUCUGGGCAGUAACUGACGCUGAGGAGCGAAAGCGUGGGGAGCGAACAGG
rnacentral:rRNA from 1 species